GUGUUCGUAGAAAGGAGAGAUGGUUGGCAUCUCCCCCGACAGGGACGGGAACAGCCUUCGGGCUUUACCUGUUACCACACAUCCGGUUAAGGCUUACCACUUCGGUGGAUCUUAUAACCCCCCUCCCUU